rnacentral:rRNA from 1 species
ACUAAGUUUCAACAACGGAUCUCUUGGCUCUCGCAUCGAUGAAGAACGCAGCGAAAUGCGAUAAGUAAUGUGAAUUGCAGAAUUCAGUGAGUCAUCGAAUCUUUGAACGCACCUUGCGCUCCUUGGUAUUCCUUGGAGCAUGCCUGUUUGAGUAUCAUGAAAU